UACGAAGGGGGCUAGCGUUGUUCGGAUUUACUGGGCGUAAAGCGCGCGUAGGCGGGUCACUAAGUCAGGGGUGAAAUCCCGAGGCUUAACCUCGGAACUGCCUUUGAUACUGGUGACCUGGAGAUCGGGAGAGGUUGGUGGAAUUCCGAGUGUAGAGGUGAAAUUCGUAGAUAUUAGGAAGAACACCAGUGGCGAAGGCGGCUCACUGGCCCGGUACUGACGCUGAGGCGCGAAAGCGUGGGGAGCAAACAGG
rnacentral:rRNA from 1 species